GACGAACGCUGGCGGCGUGCCUAAUACAUGCCAGUCGAGCGGACUUUCAAGAAGCUUGCUUUUUGAAAGUUAGCGGCGGACGGGUGAGUAACACGUGGGCAACCUGCCUGCAAGACGGGGAUAACUCCGGGAAACCGGGGCUAAUACCGGAUAAUAUCUUCCUUCGCAUGAAGGAAGGUUGAAAGGCGGCGCAAGCUGCCGCUUGCAGAUGGGCCCGCGGCGCAUUAGCUAGUUGGUGAGGUAACGGCUCACCAAGGCGACGAUGCGUAGCCGACCUGAGAGGGUGAUCGGCCACACUGGGACUGAGACACGGCCCAGACUCCUACGGGAGGCAGCAGUAGGGAAUCUUCCGCAAUGGACGAAAGUCUGACGGAGCAACGCCGCGUGAGCGAAGAAGGUCUUCGGAUCGUAAAGCUCUGUUGUCAGGGAAGAACAAGUACCGUUCGAACAGGGCGGUACCUUGACGGUACCUGACCAGAAAGCCACGGCUAACUACGU
rnacentral:rRNA from 1 species